AUGUUGGUGCAGCAGAAGGCGGCCGACAGCGAGAGCGUGAUGCUGACACAGAGCUCAGAGACGGGCCUGCAGCUGCAGCAGGCGCUGGAGCAAAUCUCCAACAUCAGCACGGCGCUGUGUGACAUACAGCGCUAUUACCAGGACCAGAGUCAGAGCGGCGUCCUCUCUGAGCUGCAGAACCUCAGAGGAGAGCUGCAGAAGAGCGAGGAGGAGAGGAAGGCCUUGGAGACCCAGCUGUCUGAAGCUAACGGCGCGGUCACACAGCUCCAGGAUGAAGUGAAACAGUUACAAGAUACGCGGAAGAGCGAGGAUGAUGCUGUUGAACCAGAGGAGAAAGCCACUCUUGCUCCACCGCCUCCUCCUCCUCCUCCUCCUCCUCCUCCUCCUCCUCCUCCCACAUCUGUCACCAAUUCACUGGAUUUGCUGAGAAGCAGGAGAAAAGAAAGAGCCGGUAAAGCUGAUCCAAACCAAGCAGCCCCCUCGCUGGACAUGAAGACGAGAGCGGUGGAUGAAAUGAUGGAGAGAAUAAAGAACGGCAUCAUCCUGAGGCCCGUCAAGAGAAUACAGGAGGACGAAAGCGCAUGGAAGGACCAGAGGAGUGAAAACAGAAAGUCAGCUAUCCUGGAGAUGAAAGGAAUGCUGGACAACAUGAAGCGUCAGCAGCUCCGCAGAGGAACAUCCAGGCGAGGAAUGGGGCAAACUGUUGGGGAAGCAGAGCUGCUGCAGGUGCUGCAGAGGAGGAGGAGAGCGAUCGGGGAGAACCAGGAUCCACAGUGUGUCCCAGCAGCAGGAGAUGAUCCCUGGGCAGGCGAGAGCAGCAGGGCCCCCGUGCUCCGCAGGCUGAAACAGAACAGAGAGAAGAGAGACUCUCGCAUCCGAGCAUCAGCGCAGAUCAUCAGCCAAGAAACCUGAGAGCAGCUACAGGAGGUCUUAUUGUCAUCGCUGUUUUAUACCAUGAUGAGUUUGUUGACUAAACUGCAAUAAAAACAAGGAACCAGCAGAAAAGAACAAAGAAAAGCAUUCUUUCCAAAUGCCGUUUAACCCAGGCCUGCUUCAAAUAGCCCGUACUUGUUGCGUGUCAAAGGGAAUGAAACUCAUCGAGCCGUGUUUAAUGUCCAACAUCGUUCUUUUUGGGUGCCUGGGUUUCGGCUGAUCUAAGUGCAAGUAUUCUACGGAAUAUAGAUGAAGAUAAAAAACACUUUAUCAUACGAAUGCCCUUACCCACUUCUCUCCCGAGGUGUCUCUCUUAAAGCCCGAUCCAGCAGAAGGCUGGAGGCUGCGAUUUAUUUAGGCACAUUAAAGCUCUCACACCCGGAGCCCAGAGGUGUCGUUGAGAUAAGAGCCUCAGGUGAUCUGGCCGCUUCCUCCUGAAAGUAUCUUUAAUGGCGGUUGGUCGCCUUUUGUUUUCUCACCUCCACACAGAUACUGCAUAUAUGUGUGCAUGCAUGCAUGAAUGAAUACAUACGCCACACCCUCACAGCACACUAUCUGCCUUUGUUAAAAGCAUUUUAAAAGAUGAAAUUACUCUCACCUUUGACUCUGACACCAUUUUAGUGUCUUCACACUGUUUCACAUUAUAUAUUUACUUUAUUUAGCUCUUUUUACUAGAGGGGGGGGGGUCUACCUUUUCACUCCCCAGCAUACAUUUUUUAUUGUUUCCCUCCUCAGUCUCAAAGGUGUUGACUUUUGGGAUGCAGUAAUGUUUUCUGCCCCCUCAGUGUUAUUGAAUCAAUGCACAUGAAAGCCAGAGUGUGUGUGUGUGUGUGUGUGUGUGUGUGUGUGUGUGUGUGUGUGUGUGUGUGAGAAAUAGCAGGAGAUGUAAUGAGGGCGAGACAGGAGGUUCUGAAACUGAUCCUCUACAUUGGAGGAUACUGAUACAAAUAGAAAAGACGUGUUAACGAGAAACCAUCUUUAACACCCAGGCUGUACAUCUUUAAAAUAUUAAAGUGGUGUUCCUACAAGUGUGUUUCCUCGGUUAAUGAACAGAAGAAAAGAAGCAUUUUUGUAUCUAUGACCUUUAUUAAAGGUACAAUUCCUAUAACAAAUGUGACCAUAUUGAAGGCCCAGAAGGAAACACCUCAUUUCACCAGUGAAGACGUAGAUGUGGGGGGACAUCUCAUGCUCGUGUUCAGUUCAUACUUGUAUUUUGGGUCAUUACGAGAACAUGUUUACAUGCUUCAAUGUUAAAAAAAACAUUAUUUGUCUCAUACUGUCUGUAUGAAUAUACCUGUAUUCACCUGCUGUCUGAAAAACACCUGACUCUUUAAGACCAUGACACACCGUCAGCCAAUGUCUUCGUUAGCAUCUGUCGGCCUGCAGUGUUUCCUGCACCGUUGGCACUAUCAGCACUUGUCGAUUCAGCAUGUUGAUUGCUGGGGGGCAAGAGAAAUCAUUCUGAUUGGCUUUUCAGCUUAAGUAAAUCAGUGCACGGGAAGACAAAGGAAAGUGCUUUGUUUCUUUUUCUAUCAUCUGAUUGUGUUGUGUGUAUUUAGUUUAAUCAGUAUUAUUGAACAUUUGUAAAUAUAGAACGACUGUGCUCUGCAUGUUUUUUAUUUUACCAAUAAAAAGUUCAGUCAAUUACCAUUUAAU
rnacentral:lncRNA from 1 species